rnacentral:rRNA from 1 species
GUACACUCCUGCGGGAGGCAGCAGUGGGGAAUUUUGGACAAUGGGCGAAAGCCUGAUCCAGCAAUGCCGCGUGAGUGAAGAAGGCCUUCGGGUUGUAAAGCUCUUUUGUCAGGGAAGAAACGGUGAGAGCUAAUAUCUUUUGCUAAUGACGGUACCUGAAGAAUAAGCACCGGCUAACUACGUGCCAGCAGCCGCGGUAAUACGUAGGGUGCAAGCGUUAAUCGGAAUUACUGGGCGUAAAGCGUGCGCAGGCGGUUUUGUAAGUCUGAUGUGAAAUCCCCGGGCUCAACCUGGGAAUUGCAUUGGAGACUGCAAGGCUAGAAUCUGGCAGAGGGGGGUAGAAUUCCACGUGUAGCAGUGAAAUGCGUAGAUAUGUGGAGGAACACCGAUGGCGAAGGCAGCCCCCUGGGUCAAGAUUGACGCUCAUGCACGAAAGCGUGGGGAGCAAACAGGAUUAGAAACCCCGGUAGUCCCAUGA